AUGGAUCCCAUCGUCAAAAAAUGGCGGCAUUAGCAGGAUCUGAGGGUGGAGGUUUUGGCCUUCUGAUGUCAAAAGGCGAAUCGGGAGACAUGGAAACCCUCACUGUGCAUCCUCUAUAGAGGGGUCAGAACCACUCCAUGAAAUCUGUGCAGAUCAGAACAGAAGCUGGCCCGCGGCUCCACGUCGAACCUCCUGUGGACUAUUCUGAUGAUUUUGAGCUGUGUGGGGAUGUGACUCUCCAGGCAAACAACACUUCUGAGGAUCGUCCGCAGGAUACCAAAUCUCCCACCAGCACCAAGCCCUGUGGUUUUAACUUCUCCCUUCUGAAUGCAUGUGGACAUUCUGACCCUUCAAGCAGUGCGGACAAAGAAAGGAUCCUCUUAACUAUUCAGGAUGUGAUGGAGCUGAGAAAAAGCCUGGAACUUAGUGUAAAUCUACAAAGGAAACAAAAGGAUUGUUCCAGCGAUGAGUAUGACUCUAUCGAGGAAGACAUACUCUCUGAGCCUGAGCCAGAGGACCCAGCGCUGGUAGGCCAUCCCAGAGAUGACCGCCCUCCUUCCAGCGGCGACUUGACUCAGAAAGAUGUUCACGGGGAACGGGAGACAGAAGGACGCUCUCCCCCGGGCCCAGACACCCUCGUGGUGCUGGAAUUUAACCCAGCUUCCAAAAGUCAUAAAAGGGAAAGGAAUUUGUCUGCAAAGCGGAAGGACAAUGCUGAGGUUUUCAUUCCCACCAAACCUGAGCCAAACCUGACUCCCCAAGCUCCUGCUGUAUUCCCAGACCAGGAGAGGAUGUGCUCCAGACCUGGAAGCCGGCGAGAGAGACCCCUGUCUGCAACCCACAAAACUCUUUGCGAGGCUGAGGACCUAGAGGAAGACGCCUCUGCUGUGCUCCGAGCCAUCCAAGUGGAGAACGCGGCCCUGCAGAGGGCGCUCCUCAGCAGAAAGGCCGAGCAGCCGGCCAGCGCACUGCAGGAUGCAGAGGGACCACCAGCAAAACCAUGGACCAGUCUGCUGGAGGAGAAGGAAGAGACCUUUGAGCUGCUUCCCAUCACCACGGCGACCACUACUCAGGAGCCGGCAGCAGGGGGAGCCAGAGCCAUCAACCAGGCCAUGGACAGAAUUGGACUUCUGGGAAGCAGACAACAGCAGAAGCUUCUGAAAGUCCUCCAGGCCGUCGAAAAUGACUCUGCCCACCUCAGCAGAGUGGUUUCACCAACCAAGGAGCAAGUAUCACACACAGAGGACAAACAGAGAAUGAGGGCAGACGAGAUCAAAGAUGCCAUCUACGUGACCAUGGAGAUCCUGUCCAACUGGGGCAACUCGUGGUGGGUGGGUCUCACAGAAGUCGAGUUCUUUGACUUGAAUGACACAAAGCUUUAUGUGUCGCCCCACGAUGUGGAUAUCCGGAACACAGCCACUCCUGGGGAGCUGGGCCGCCUCGUCAACAGGAACUUAGCUGGCAAGAAAGACUCCUCCCCGUGGACCUGCCCCUUCCACCCACCACUCCAGCUGUUUUUUGUUAUUCGAAACACAAGACAGCUGGGGGACUUCCGUCUGGCCAAGAUCAAGGUUCGGAAUUACUGGACGGCUGAUGGCUCUCUCUCUGUUGUCCAGGCUGGAGUGCAGUGGCGUGAUCAUGGCUCACUGCAGCCUCGACCUCCUGGGCUCAAGCGUUCCUCCCACCUCAGCCUCCCAAGUAGAUGGGACUCCAGGUGUGCACACCACACACAGCUAGUUUUUUUUUAUUUUUUGUAGAGAUAGGCUGGUCUCAAACUCUUGGCCUCAAGUCAUCCUCCCACCUCAGCUUCCCAAAGUGCUGGGAUUACAGGCGUGAGCCACCGCACCCGGUCCUGAUUGAGGAAUUUAAAAGACUACUCUGGUUGAUUUGGAGAAUGGAUCAGGGGGCAGAGGGAGCCCCGAGAGAGGAGGCUCAAGGCAUAGAACAGCCUAGCUGAAGAUGGUGGUGGCCUGGAUGAGGGUGUCAGUGCUCUUGGGGUGUACUUUAGGUGGACUCAGCUCAUCCUAUGACCGUUUGCAUUUUCAGCAAUGCCUUUUUCUGGAAAGAAGUUUUCAAAUGAAUGCAAAAGUGAAGAGAUUAGUUCAGUAAUGAGGUGUGUAUCCAUCACCUGCUUCAAUAAUUACCAACAUUCUGCUAUUGUUGUUUCACGUAUCCCCUUAACAUUUGAAAGUAAAUUGUAGCUAUCACACUAUUUCAGUCACAAAUCCUUCAGUAUACAUCUCUAAC
rnacentral:sRNA from 1 species